GGAAGUAAAAGUCGUAACAAGGUCUCCGUUGGUGAACCAGCGGAGGGAUCAUUACUGAGUUUACGCUCUACAACCCUUUGUGAACAUACCUAUAACUGUUGCUUCGGCGGGUAGGGUCUCCGUGACCCCCCCGGCCGCCCGCCCCCGGGCGGGUCGGCGCCCGCCGGAGGAUAACCAAACUCUGAUUUAACGACGUUUCUUCUGAGUGGUACAAGCAAAUAAUCAAAACUUUUAACAACGGAUCUCUUGGUUCUGGCAUCGAUGAAGAACGCAGCGAAAUGCGAUAAGUAAUGUGAAUUGCAGAAUUCAGUGAAUCAUCGAAUCUUUGAACGCACAUUGCGCCCGCCAGCAUUCUGGCGGGCAUGCCUGUUCGAGCGUCAUUUCAACCCUCAAGCUCUGCUUGGUGUUGGGGCCCUACGGCUGACGUAGGCCCUCAAAGGUAGUGGCGGACCCUCCCGGAGCCUCCUUUGCGUAGUAACUUUACGUCUCGCACUGGGAUCCGGAGGGACUCUUGCCGUAAAACCCCCAAUUUUCCAAAGGUUGACCUCGGAUCAGGUAGGAAUACCCGCUGAACUUAAGCAUAUCAAUAAGCGGAGG
rnacentral:rRNA from 1 species